GGGGUUGUAACUCAGUGGUAGAGUGUUCGCUAUGCAUGCGAAAAGCCCGGAGUUCAAUCAUCCUCAACUCCA
rfam:Daphnia pulex DAPPTscaffold_383_Cont9214, whole genome shotgun sequence.